rnacentral:rRNA from 1 species
UUGAACGCUGGCGGCAUGCCUUACACAUGCAAGUCGAACGGUAACAGGUCUUCGGAUGCUGACGAGUGGCGAACGGGUGAGUAAUACAUCGGAACGUGCCCGAUCGUGGGGGAUAACGAGGCGAAAGCUUUGCUAAUACCGCAUACGAUCUACGGAUGAAAGCGGGGGAUCUUCGGACCUCGCGCGGACGGAGCGGCCGAUGGCAGAUUAGGUAGUUGGUGGGAUAAAAGCUUACCAGGCCGACGAUCUGUAGCUGGUCUGAGAGGAUGAUCAGCCACACUGGGACUGAGACACGGCCCAGACUCCUACGGGAGGCAGCAGUGGGGAAUUUUGGACAAUGGGCGAAAGCCUGAUCCAGCCAUGCCGCGUGCAGGAUGAAGGCCUUCGGGUUGUAAACUGCUUUUGUACGGAACGAAAAGCCUCUUUCUAAUAAAGAGAGGUCAUGACGGUACCGUAAGAAUAAGCACCGGCUAACUACGUG